UUUCUUUAUUUUUUGUAACCUACAAUAAAUAAAGCAGGCUUCCAGUCAAUGGAAAAAUGGUUUCUCCCCACCGGCGAUUGUUGUUGUUUACGAUUUUCUAUCAGUUCUCACCACACAACGACGUCUCAUCUUUGCUCCUUGAAUGUCGAUAUGUAAUGGUAAGGAGUUAUUGAAACUUACUACGUGUAAAAAAGACUAGAAAUUGAAUGUUUAUUUUUCAUUGAAUGUUUACAUAAAGUUGCACUGGGUGCCUUUAAUAUGUUACGUGUCAAUUCCAUCAGAGAAAGUCUGUAAUUUCCGUCCCUUUUUUGCUCCAUAACACAACCAAAAGGACACCACAUCGCAGGCCUAUCUUACGAUUGGAACGACCCCGUAGCGCGUGGCGAUGAGAAAGCUGCGCAGGUCCCCGUGCUCCAGGAAGGGGAGGAUGACCAGCGGCACGGAGAGCGAGGAGUUCUCCUCUCUCUCCAGGGCGACGCCUAGAGGAUACACACAGACAGAACGCACGCACACACGCAAACACACA